AGAGUUUGAUCAUGGCUCAGGACGAACGCUGGCGGCGUGCUUAACACAUGCAAGUCGAACGGAGCACCCUUGAUUGAGGUUUCGGCCAAAUGAUAGGAAUGCUUAGUGGCGGACUGGUGAGUAACGCGUGAGGAACCUGCCUUUCAGAGGGGGACAACAGUUGGAAACGACUGCUAAUACCGCAUGACGCAUUUUGAUCGCAUGGUCGAAAUGCCAAAGAUUUAUCGCUGAAAGAUGGCCUCGCGUCUGAUUAGAUAGUUGGCGGGGUAACGGCCCACCAAGUCGACGAUCAGUAGCCGGACUGAGAGGUUGACCGGCCACAUUGGGACUGAGAUACGGCCCAGACUCCUACGGGAGGCAGCAGUGGGGAAUAUUGGGCAAUGGGCGCAAGCCUGACCCAGCAACGCCGCGUGAAGGAAGAAGGCUUUCGGGUUGUAAACUUCUUUUAAGUGGGAAGAGUAGAAGACGGUAUCACUUGAAUAAGCCACGGCUAACUACGUGCCAGCAGCCGCGGUAAUACGUAGGUGGCAAGCGUUGUCCGGAUUUACUGGGUGUAAAGGGCGUGCAGCCGGGCAUGCAAGUCAGAUGUGAAAUCUCAGGGCUUAACCCUGAAACUGCAUUUGAAACUGUAUGUCUUGAGUGCCGGAGAGGUAAUCGGAAUUCCUUGUGUAGCGGUGAAAUGCGUAGAUAUAAGGAAGAACACCAGUGGCGAAGGCGGAUUACUGGACGGUAACUGACGGUGAGGCGCGAAAGCGUGGGGAGCGAACAGGAUUAGAUACCCUGGUAGUCCACGCUGUAAACGAUGGAUACUAGGUGUGCGGGGACUGACCCCCUGCGUGCCGCAGUUAACACAAUAAGUAUCCCACCUGGGGAGUACGAUCGCAAGGUUGAAACUCAAAGGAAUUGACGGGGGCCCGCACAAGCGGUGGAUAUGUGGUUUAAUUCGAAGCAACGCGAAGAACCUUACCAGGUCUUGACAUCCUGCUAACGAAGUAGAGAUACAUUAGGUGCCCUUCGGGGAAAGCAGAGACAGGUGGUGCAUGGUUGUCGUCAGCUCGUGUCGUGAGAUGUUGGGUUAAGUCCCGCAACGAGCGCAACCCCUAUUGUUAGUUGCUACGCAAGAGCACUCUAGCGAGACUGCCGUUGACAAAACGGAGGAAGGUGGGGACGACGUCAAAUCAUCAUGCCCCUUAUGACCUGGGCUACACACGU
rnacentral:rRNA from 1 species